GUUCUUAGUUAUUGCAGUCACCCCGACAUGGUAUCUGUGCAUGAAUCAUUACUCCAUCUGUAUUGAAUCGCCAAAUAAUUGCAUCAAGAGAUGAUGAUGGUGUGUGUGUGCCAGGUGAAAUGUCUCUGCGUUAUUACGAAAGAUCAAUGCUUGCAAGCAGAUAUGUUAACAUUCUGAAGAUUGGCAACUACUAUUGCUAUAUUGGAAUUCUUGCAAGGAGUACAUCAAGUAUGCGCACACAAAAUGGUACAAGAGCUAAUAGAGAAGGAACUGAAUGAGUAUCCAUAUGGUUGAAAUGCACAUAUGCUGUGAAGUAGACUCUAUUGUCAGUAUGGUUAUGGAAACAAAGGAAAUGACAAGAUGGCAUGCAAAAUAUGGAAUGGUACCAACAUGAUGGAUCUGAUCCCCGGCAAUGAUUGAGCGAAGAAAACAUGGCAUUUAUAAAUUUGUGGUCGGGGGAAAUUUACAAUCGACCGAAAUGGCUAAUGUAUUGAUGGAGACUUUUAAGCUAGCAAAAUGUGUUGGAUUGUCUUGGAUGCAUCACGUAUGCUCUGUGUUCAUUGGAUAAGGAUGUUAUCACUCAUGCUUGUUUACAUUGACAACAUGAGGUUUUGAAAUCAUAGCAAAUAUAGUUGUAAUA